GGCUUAUUGUAUAUUUAUAUUAAGUCUUACCUGCUCAAUGAUAAAUUUAUUAAAUAGCCGCAGUAUUUUGACUGUGCAAAGGUAGCAUAAUCAUUUGUCUUUUAAUUGAGGACUUGUAUGAAUGGUUUGAUGAGAUACUAGCUUUCUUUAUAUAAAUUUAAUUAAUUUAAUUUUUAAGUUAAAAAGCUUAAAUAGUUAUGUAGGACGAGAAGACCCUAUAGAAUUUUAUAUUCUAAUAUAUUUUGUAUUAUUGGGUUUUAUAUAAUAAAUAUUUAUUAAAAUAUUUUGUUGGGGUGACAGGAAAAUUGUAAAAACUAUUCUUAUUUAUUAUUUAUUUAUUUGUAAAUUAAUGAUCCUAUUAUAAGGAUAAUAAGAUUAAAUUACCUUAGGGAUAACAGCGUAAUUCUUUUGGAGAGUUCUUAUCGAUAAAGGAGUUUGCGACCUCGAUGUUGGAUUAAAAUAAGUAUUGGGUGUAGGUGCUUAAUUACUAGGUCUGUUCGACCUUUAAAAUUUUACA
rnacentral:rRNA from 1 species